rnacentral:rRNA from 1 species
GUGGGGAAUUUUGGACAAUGGGCGAAAGCCUGAUCCAGCCAUGCCGCGUGCAGGAUGAAGGCCUUCGGGUUGUAAACUGCUUUUGUACGGAACGAAAAGACUCCUUCUAAUAAAGGGGGUCCAUGACGGUACCGUAAGAACAAGCACCGGCUAACUACGUGCCAGCAGCCGCGGUAAUACGUAGGGUGCAAGCGUUAAUCGGAAUUACUGGGCGUAAAGCGUGCGCAGGCGGUUAUAUAAGACAGAUGUGAAAUCCCCGGGCUCAACCUGGGAACUGCAUUUGUGACUGUAUAGCUAGAGUACGGUAGAGGGGGAUGGAAUUCCGCGUGUAGCAGUGAAAUGCGUAGAUAUGCGGAGGAACACCGAUGGCGAAGGCAAUCCCCUGGACCUGUACUGACGCUCAUGCACGAAAGCGUGGGGAGCAAACAGGAUUAGAUACCCCUGUAGUCC